UACGUAGGGGGCAAGCGUUGUCCCGGAUUCAUUGGGCGUAAAGAGCGUGUAGGCGCCAGGUAGGUCGGUUGUGAAAACUGGAGGCUCAACCUUCAGACGUCGCCGAAACCAUCUGGCUAGAGUCCGGGAGAGGAGAGUGGAAUUCCUGGUGUAGCGGUGAAUGCGCAGAUAUCAGGAAGAACACCCGUGCGAAGCGGCUCUCUGGAACGGUACUGACGCUGAGACGCGAAAGCGUGGGAGCGACAGG
rnacentral:rRNA from 1 species